rnacentral:rRNA from 1 species
UACAGAGGGUGCGAGCGUUGUCCGGAAUCACUGGGCGUAAAGGGCGCGUAGGUGGCUUGGUAAGCGUGCGGUGAAAGCCCGGGGCUCAACCCCGGGUCUGCCGUGCGAACUGCCGAGCUCGAGCAUAGUAGAGGCAGGUGGAAUUCCGGGUGUAGCGGUGGAAUGCGUAGAGAUCCGGAAGAACACCGGUGGCGAAGGCGACUCUCUGGACUGUAACUGACGCUGAGGCACGAAAGCGUGGGGAGCAAACAGG